UAUAAUCUAAAUUAGAUUUUAUAAUAUCGAGAUUUGACGCAAAAACAGAAUGGUUUGACAUUGUACCAUAUAGUUUUGUGAAACUAUACGGAAAAAAUUAUCUUUAUAAAACAGAAACAGCAGACGAGCUGAAUGAGACACAGAUUCACUCUGUGCCAGCAGGUGGAGCCUAGAGCGUUUCCCUGGUUACCGCUGUAAACAAAGCACUUGUGAACACUGCGGCAGGUGGAGCCUAGAGCGUUUCCCUGGUUACCGCUGUAAACAAAGCACUUGUGAACACUGCGGCAGUUGGAGCCUAAAGCGUUUCCCUGGUUACCGCUGCAAACAAAGCACUUGUGAACACUGCGGCAGGUGGAGCCUAAAGCGUUUCCCUGGUUACCGCUGCAAACAAAGCACUUGUGAACACUGCAGCAGGUGGAGCCUUAAGCGUUUCCCUGGUUACCGCUGCAAACAAAGCACUUGUGAACACUGCAGCAGGUGGAGCCUUAAGCGUUUCCCUGGUUACCGCUGCAAACAAAGCACUUGUGAACACUGCGGCAGGUGGAGCCUAAAGCGUUUCCCUGGUUACCGCUGCAAACAAAGCACUUGUGAACACUGCAGCAGGUGGAGCCUUAAGCGUUUCCCUGGUUACCGCUGCAAACAAAGCACUUGUGAACACUGCAGCUGGUGGAGCCUAAAGCGUUUCCCUG